rnacentral:rRNA from 1 species
GGAAUUUUGGGCAAUGGGCGAAAGCCUGACCCAGCAACGCCGCGUGAAGGAUGAAAUCCCUCGGGAUGUAAACUUCGCAAGAACGGGAAGAAUAAGUCGGUGUUAACACCACCGGCGAUGACGGUACUGGUGGUAAGCUCCGGCUAACCCCGUGCCAGCAGCCGCGGUAACGCGGGGGGAGCAAGCGUUGUUCGGAUUUACUGGGCGUAAAGGGCGCGUAGGCGGCCACCGCAAGUCGACUGUGAAAUCUCCGGGCUUAACUCGGAAAGGUCAGCCGAUACUGCGGGGCUAGAGUGCAGAAGGGGCAACUGGAAUUCUCGGUGUAGCGGUGAAAUGCGUAGAUAUCGAGAGGAACACCUGCGGCGAAGGCGGGUUGCUGGGCUGACACUGACGCUGGGGCGCGAAAGCUAGGGGAGCGA